AUGAUGAUGAUGAUGAUGAUGAUAUACUACUGGUAGAUGAUACCAAAGAACGACAAUAUUGUGAUACUGAGUAGUCCAUUAUCAUCAUCAUCAUCAUCAUCAU
rnacentral:miRNA from 1 species